rnacentral:rRNA from 1 species
AUUGAACGCUGGCGGCAGGCCUAACACAUGCAAGUCGAGCGAGCGGCGGACGGGUGAGUAAUGUAUGGGGACUGCCCGAUAGAGGGGGAUAACUAAUGGAAAAGGUGGCUAAUACCGCAUACUAUCGGAUAACCCAUAUGGGAUUAGCUAGUAGGUGGGGUAAAGGCUCACCUAGGCGACGAUCUCUAGCUGGUCUGAGAGGAUGAUCAGCCACACUUGGACUGAGACUCGGCCCAGACUCCUGCGGGGGCAGCAUUGGGUAAUAUUGCACAAGUGGCUCAAGCCUGAUUCAUCCGUCCCGCGUGUAUGAAACUGGCCUGAGCGUUGUAAUGUUCUUUCAUCGAGAAGACGUUCCCCGCCGAAGAAGCACCGGCUAACUCCCUGCCAGCCGCCGCGGUAAUUC